rnacentral:rRNA from 1 species
UACACUCCUGCGGGAGGCAGCAGUGGGGAAUAUUGGACAAUGGGCGCAAGCCUGAUCCAGCCAUGCCGCGUGAGUGAUGAAGGCCCUAGGGUUGUAAAGCUCUUUCACCGGUGAAGAUAAUGACGGUAACCGGAGAAGAAGCCCCGGCUAACUUCGUGCCAGCAGCCGCGGUAAUACGAAGGGGGCUAGCGUUGUUCGGAUUUACUGGGCGUAAAGCGCACGUAGGCGGACUAUUAAGUCAGGGGUGAAAUCCCGGGGCUCAACCCCGGAACUGCCUUUGAUACUGGUAGUCUUGAGUUCGAGAGAGGUGAGUGGAAUUCCGAGUGUAGAGGUGAAAUUCGUAGAUAUUCGGAGGAACACCAGUGGCGAAGGCGGCUCACUGGCUCGAUACUGACGCUGAGGUGCGAAAGCGUGGGGAGCAAACAGGAUUAGAAACCCGAGUAGUCCC